UGCAAGUCGAACGAACUCUGGUAUUGAUUGGUGCUUGCAUCAUGAUUUACAUUUGAGUGAGUGGCGAACUGGUGAGUAACACGUGGGAAACCUGCCCAGAAGCGGGGGAUAACACCUGGAAACAGAUGCUAAUACCGCAUAACAACUUGGACCGCAUGGUCCGAGUUUGAAAGAUGGCUUCGGCUAUCACUUUUGGAUGGUCCCGCGGCGUAUUAGCUAGAUGGUGGGGUAACGGCUCACCAUGGCAAUGAUACGUAGCCGACCUGAGAGGGUAAUCGGCCACAUUGGGACUGAGACACGGCCCAAACUCCUACGGGAGGCAGCAGUAGGGAAUCUUCCACAAUGGACGAAAGUCUGAUGGAGCAACGCCGCGUGAGUGAAGAAGGGUUUCGGCUCGUAAAACUCUGUUGUUAAAGAAGAACAUAUCUGAGAGUAACUGUUCAGGUAUUGACGGUAUUUAACCAGAAAGCCACGGCUAACUACGUGCCAGCAGCCGCGGUAAUACGUAGGUGGCAAGCGUUGUCCGGAUUUAUUGGGCGUAAAGCGAGCGCAGGCGGUUUUUUAAGUCUGAUGUGAAAGCCUUCGGCUCAACCGAAGAAGUGCAUCGGAAACUGGGAAACUUGAGUGCAGAAGAGGACAGUGGAACUCCAUGUGUAGCGGUGAAAUGCGUAGAUAUAUGGAAGAACACCAGUGGCGAAGGCGGCUGUCUGGUCUGUAACUGACGCUGAGGCUCGAAAGUAUGGGUAGCAAACAGGAUUAGAUACCCUGGUAGUCCAUACCGUAAACGAUGAAUGCUAAGUGUUGGAGGGUUUCCGCCCUUCAGUGCUGCAGCUAACGCAUUAAGCAUUCCGCCUGGGGAGUACGGCCGCAAGGCUGAAACUCAAAGGAAUUGACGGGGGCCCGCACAAGCGGUGGAGCAUGUGGUUUAAUUCGAAGCUACGCGAAGAACCUUACCAGGUCUUGACAUACUAUGCAAAUCUAAGAGAUUAGACGUUCCCUUCGGGGACAUGGAUACAGGUGGUGCAUGGUUGUCGUCAGCUCGUGUCGUGAGAUGUUGGGUUAAGUCCCGCAACGAGCGCAACCCUUAUUAUCAGUUGCCAGCAUUAAGUUGGGCACUCUGGUGAGACUGCCGGUGACAAACCGGAGGAAGGUGGGGAUGACGUCAAAUCAUCAUGCCCCUUAUGACCUGGGCUACACACGUGCUACAAUGGAUGGUACAACGAGUUGCGAACUCGCGAGAGUAAGCUAAUCUCUUAAAGCCAUUCUCAGUUCGGAUUGUAGGCUGCAACUCGCCUACAUGAAGUCGGAAUCGCUAGUAAUCGCGGAUCAGCAUGCCGCGGUGAAUACGUUCCCGGGCCUUGUACACACCGCCCGUCACACCAUGAGAGUUUGUAACACCCAAAGUCGGUGGGGUAAC
rnacentral:rRNA from 1 species